UUGGAGGGCAAGUCUGGUGCCAGCAGCCGCGGUAAUUCCAGCUCCAAUAGCGUAUAUUAAAGUUGUUGUGGUUAAAAAGCUCGUAGUUGAACCUUGGGCCUGGCUGGCCGGUCCGCCUCACCGCGUGUACUGGUCCGGCCGGGCCUUUCCCUCUGUGGAACCUCAUGCCCUUCACUGGGUGUGGCGGGGAAACAGGACUUUUACUUUGAAAAGAUUAGAGUGCUCCAGGCAGGCCUAUGCUCGAAUACAUUAGCAUGGAAUAAUAAAAUAGGACGCG
rnacentral:rRNA from 1 species